GUGGCGAUCCAUUCUUGCGCAUGCGCAUAUGUAGUUUUGUUUUAUGACCCUGCUUGCGGAUAUUCCAGAAACUUUCGGUUCCAAAAACGGAGGUAACUUUCAUGGUAUGUAAACUGCCAUAGCAACUUACUCUCUGAACAUGACCUGGUUCGGAGCAGGUUAUUUUCCAGGGUUAGCUUGUUUCAGUAGCGGGACCUUUUGUAGAGGAUCCAAUGGACGAGGAAUCACUGAUUAUACAAAAUCGUUUUCACAACCAGAUUAAUAUUUGGGAGUAUACAAUGUGAGUGAUGCACAGCGUGUGGAAAAGGCAACGGUGUGCAGUUCCCUGGCCAUAAACCAUGAUGAACCAUUGAUGAACCAUUGAUGAAAAUGGCAAGAGGAUCCCCAGUGAACCAAAGAGAUUGCAGGGUGUUACAAGAUGUGAUCUACCCACAUAAUUUCUAAUUAAAUGACUAAUGCACAAACCGAA